ensembl:lncRNA
UUUUUUAUCAGCAUUACAGCUCAAACCAUCUGUACUUAAUUGUAAGACAACAAAUUGUCUAAAAACCAGCAAGGAUUAAGAGGACAAAGCUUCUUAUGGACAGUUCAUAUUAGAGAAAUUUAAAGACUUCUAAGAUCACAGCACUUCUUCUGCACUUGUUUUAUUUUAGUCAAGCCCCUGUAUUUAUCUUCCAGAAUGGAAAUACAUAGAGCAUGUUGAUCACUGCCACAGCAGCAGUAAAGAGGUUUAUCAGGGUAUUAAACUUUGAUGAGAAAUCCACUGAUAGCUUAAGAGCUGGCUGACAUUUACCCCUAAAGUUCAUGCAGGGGGAGAAGCCCAGCUGCUGAGCUCCAGUGCUCCACUGACUCCCAGAACUGGAGGAACUGGGCCAGUGGAGUGGGGUGGGAGACAUUCUGCUUGUCAUGCUUCUUGUGUAGCAGAGAAAACAAUUUCAUUUAUGUGGAGUGAGGGACAGAGAUUUUACUGCUGGGUGGAAGGGAGAAAUGGAAGUGGCAGUCACUAAAAAUGUCACCCAAGAGUCUUUGGUGUGGAUGGAGUUAUGUCCAUCUCUUCCUGAUGAACAUCUUCAGUGUCCUGAGCACUUCCAAAAUGUUUUGGAGUGUUGUGUUUGCAUUCCUUUAAAAUUUAUUCCCUUUGCCAGCCGUGAUUUUUUUUCAAUCACUGUGUAGAAAUUAUUAUUGUGCAAUUAAAUAACAAUUCAUGAGAUGAAGAAUCAGCAUUGACCUGUCAAAGUCAGCACUUUGCCCACCUGCCAACUGCAGAUCUCCUCAUUAAAGCAGUGCUUGGUGCAUCUCUCAAAGAAAUCCAUUUCUACAGAAAGGAAAAACCUGCACAUCUGCCAAAAAAAAUUCCUUUUAGGGCUCUUUCUUCUUGUUGUUAAGCUCCUCUUUAAUUUCUUUUAUUCUCUUAGAUCUCUUAGAAAAGACAAUCUUAAAAAAAAAAAAGAAGAAAUUCAAGCUUUCUCUAAAACACAUCAAAAACUGUGAAAAAGCUCUUAGCGGCAUGUCUCCUGGGACUUCUUAUGCACUAAAUGAAAUGCAGAUGCUUUAAUAAUAACUUGUAAAAUAUUUAAAGUUGAGUGAGAUGUUACAACUAAUAAUCUACUCAUUAAAAUAAACAUGCACAUUUUUUAAUACAGUAAUAAAGAAUUGUCUGCCUGGCACACAGACUGCUUUUCAUCUUUGAAAAGCUGGGUGAUAUUGGCCAAGUCCAGAUUAAAAGUUUGUCUUCAACAGAUUUUUUUAAAGGUCAUUAUUUAUUUUUAACACAAAAAGGUCAAAUCUCAUCUAGGACAGUCAGUAAACAACACCAUCUCUACAUUUUGUCAUUUAAAAAAUAUAUUUAAGGUCAAUAUGUUCGAGGUUCAUGCAAAUUAAGAUCACAUCCUUUAUCCCCUCCUUAAAUUCUUUCAUUACUUGUUACUAAUGUCUGUAUUUUCAUUUUAGUUACUUUCUUUUCAAUAAAUUAGCAAAAGAUAGAGCAAAACCAUUUCUUAAAUUUUUAAUUUUUUUCAAAAGCAAAGGUAGCUCUACAGCCUUACACUUAAAUGCUAUUUUACUUAUAAUUUGAGAAGAUGACAAAAUGAGAAGUUACAGGGAUCCAGCCUCACGUAUCCCUGUGCAUUGAGAUGAGGAUUAUUUCAGAAUUAGUGCUGUCCUAAAGCCCACUGCCUUACUGGCUUUGCCAGCUCAUAAAUCCAAUUAAGAUUCCAGGCUGCAUUUUAAAAGCUAAAGAGUCAAUGUGCAAACUACAAACAGCACGUCCUCGAGGGCAAAUGCCUGUGGCCUCAUAACCUCCUUGUCUCAAAUAAAGAUCUUUAAUUUGAUUUUUUUAAUCUUCAUUUAUAUCUAUACACAUGCUUAGCUGUCCUUAGAAGUUAUUUUUUUAAGGAAAAUUCAUAUAGAUGUGCUAAAAAGGUGCAUUUUCUCUAUACCUCCUGGGCAAGAUGGAACUUCCUGAGUGGGACAUUUCAGUAGAAUUGUUCUAUAUUUAAAAUUUUAAUUUUAUGCUUCCAGACUUUUCAACAAGAUCCUAUUCGAUCAUUAAGAGAGAAGAUGAUAAUUUAGUACCUAGGAGCAUUUUCAAGAAAAAAAAUUUGAACUUGUGUUUGUUAGGUAAAAAAGCCAAACCAAAAAGAAGCUCCAAUUCUCUGAAGGGUAUUUAUUCUAAUAAUAAUUUUAAUUUAUCAUGUCUGCUACACAUUGUAACACAAUGAAAUAGUUAGUAAUACAAAGUAAUUUUUAUUCAGGUAUUUUUUCAGUGCUGAUUAUUAGUUCCACUGUGUAGCUCUAAACUUCAUAGUAGUUCUGAACUUCAUAAACUUUUAAGCUUGAACUUUACUGACUAAUUUUAGUUAGGCAAGAUCUGGUCAAAAUUAACAACUGCUUAAUCUAUUUCUUAGAAUUUUAUUUUUCAUUUUAUUACAUUUCUUUGCAAUUUUAAAUGACAAGACAGACUAUUUGUAUGAGUUAAUUAAAAAAAAAAUUUAGACAUCUGCUUAAUAAAACUCAGCUAACAAAUGUAUUCCUCUGACAUAAACCCACCCAGAAACUUCUUUCUUUUCCAUGUUUUAAGGAUUGUUCUACACAGAUCAUCCCAAAUAAUGUUAUAAUUCCCAUAUGUGCACACCACACUUGUGUCAAUGAAAUUAUUGUAACACACAGGGGGAAGGGAAAAUAAAAAAUUAAAGGAAAGAAAUGUGAGAGCCACAAUACCAAACUGAGUUUGGCUCCCAAACUCUAAAUGUUGAGAUUCGUCUUGAUUUCUGAGGAGAAACAUAUAAAAAUACCAGUGAAUGCAGUCUUGUACAUGUGCUCAUCAUGUUCAAAAUCAAGGAUAAUCCAGAUUUUCUAGAUUGCCUGAAGUGGGUCAGAAACUCCAGGAAUAACUGGUAAAUCCCAGUUUCUUCUCCAGGAUUCAGUGCAGAUGCACAGUGAUCACUGGGAAAAAUCCUCAUUUUUCCCAGAGGAAUUAUUGCAGGACUGCUGGACAUCCCCAAAAUUCAGAUCAACAUCGACUUCCCAUCAAAGAUUGCAGAACAGCAGAGACUCUAAACCAGAAAUUUCUCUGAGAAAAACAAAAAA